GUUGCGACAAAAAUACUGCCUUUGCUUUGUGAAAAUUUGUGAUAAAAUAUCACGUUUGGUAUUUGCUGUAUUGGCAUUAGAUGUUGUUGCAUUUUAACGUGCCAGACUUUCUACCUUUGUAUUUUUCCUUUUGCAAAUAUAAUCAUGUUCCCACUCCACUCAAUUUUCAGUGGAGAUAUUUAUAUUUUUGUUCAAAUUUUUGCACUGAGCAAUACUGUAUUUAGGCAAAUUACUAUGUGUACUAUAUGCAAGACAAAUUGAGUUUUAAGUCCUGUUGUCAGCUGUGAUUCUUG
rnacentral:misc_RNA from 1 species